UUGGUAUUGAAACACUUGAAGAUGAGAAAUUGUUAAAUCUCUUGAUGUUGAAGAUGGUUAUCUCCCGUCAAAGCGUUCGGAUUCUUGGUUAAAGGUGAAGUGAAAUUAUGUCGAAGGUUUAAAUGAUUUCUUGGGCUUGGUUCCUAUUGGUGCUUGGUACGGGAAUGGAAGGAAUGCUGGCUGGUACAGUCCAUUUCUCAUGGCUUGCUAUGAUCCCGACACUGAUGAAUAUCAAAGUGUCAGUCGUGUAAUGUCCGGCUUCAGGAAGGUGAA